rnacentral:lncRNA from 1 species
AGAUUUUACUUUCUGUUCGGGAACCUCCUGAAAAAUGAGAUUUUACUUUCUGUUUAGGACCCUCCUGGAAAAUGGGACGUUACUUUCAAAAAUAAAAUCUUUCUUUAUCAUAAUUUUUGUUUGGGAUAAUUCUCGCUCUAGUUUUUAUUUUGAUUUUUGGAGCCUACCUGAAGAACAGGGUGAUGAAGCUGUAAGUCAGGUGCCCGCCUGAAGAGCAUGGUAAAUUAGUUGAAAGUCAAACAACAAGUUGAAGAAAUUAAAAGCCAAACAACAAGUUCAAGAAAUUGCAAGUCAGGAACCCGCCUGAAGAAUAGGGUGAUAAAAUUAAAAGUCAGGAGCCCACCUGAAGAACAGGGUGAUGGAAAUGGCAAGUCAGGAGCCCUCCUGAAGAAUAGGGUGAUUAAAUUAAAAGUCAAGUAACAAGGUUAAGAGAUUGAAAGUCAAGCAAUAAGGUCAAGAAGUUGAAAGUCAAACAACAAGGUGAAGAAGUUGAAAGUCAAGCAACAAGGCGAAGAAAUUACAAGUUAGGAGCCCGCCUGAAGAAUAGGAUGAUGAAACUCAAGUCAAGAGUCCAAAAGAAGCCGCAUAGAUAGGACUUUUGUAAUUUUAUUUAUGUUUUUAACUUGUAAUUUUCAUUUUUGAUGUAAUGACAAAGCCACGGACUAGAACCUCGAUGGAACCUCACUCGACUCUCCAACUCGGUAUAGUCCUUCUAUUUCCAAUCCUUUGAGAUACCCUUGAAUUGAUUCCCUCAUAACUUGGGUAGCUAGGAUGUCCAAAAUCAAGAGUCGGUUGCCCUCCUUCCUUCUGUUUCAUUCUUUUUGAAUAAUGAUCGCGACAAAAUUAUGUCUCGUUGUUUACUUCUUUGUUUGAAAACACUGUGUGUUUACAUUCAAAGGGGGCAUGAUGUAGACACAUAAUUUCAUCCCUCCCUGAUAUCGUUUUACCCAUUUUUUACCUUAUCCUACCAUGUACCUUCACCCAUGUAAUUACAUCCCACAAAAAUACAAAAAAUAACUCUCAACAAAAUUCCUAACAAACUUUUAUUCUUUUUAACAUCCUAACAACCCUUUCAAUUAAAAGAAGACAAAUUACCCAUACCCAUACCCCCAACACCCUAUACCCACAUGACCCCCUCCCCCUCAUAUUUCUUGUCCACAAAGGCAAAAAGGAAUAAACAUUAGAAAGGGGCCCUACUAGGAAACUUCCAGGAGGGGGACAAAAGGACAAUUUUUCCAUUUUGGAAAAAAAUGAUAUAUACACACAUAUACAGAUCAAAAAAGGGGGGGUUUCUUCUAGAUUCACCAUAUUCAUC